UGUUUUUUCUUCUUUACAAGCUGCUCUGUGUCUUUGUUCAGGUUGAGAGGACUUUGGGUAUUGAGGCUGCAAGAUCCACCAUCAUCAAUGAGAUUCAGUACACCAUGGUCAACCACGGAAUGAGCAUCGACCGGCGUCACGUCAUGCUUCUUGCUGAUCUUAUGUCCUAUAAGGACCAGACCUGCUGGGAUCUGUACAGAUGUCUCGAUGAGGGUGGGAGUGGUUUCAGUAAAGGAGAGCUGGAUCAGUCUACAAACACAUUGUUGUAACCAGUGUGGGAAAUCUUUCAGGCAGUCAAGUUAUUUGAAACGUCAUAUGCUCAUCCACACGGAAGAAAUUAGUUUUUUACUGUGAUAUUUCCUCAUGUUUGACAAAGUGGUUAUUAUCUUAACUGUGAAAUAAAAGCCCUCCUUAAACGUUAUUUAAUCUAGUCUCUUUUUCAAAAGAGGCCUGAGAACAACAGACAUUCCAAUAAACUACCCUUAGUUAGUAAAGUGAAACUAAAUAUUAACUAUAUAUAUAAACUAUUGUACCCAAAACCUCCACUGCCAUAUUAGAACAGGAUAUGCUUUUAUUUCUAAAACAUUGCCAAUGAUUUUGACAAAUCAUUCUGUGGUUUUAUUUGAGAAAGUUGUUGCCCCAGCAUUGUCCUACAGGGGGCAGUUGUUUUAAAACUACAUUUGUCUUCCAUGUGUCACCAUUUGCUUGCAUAUUUCAUAAACAUCACAAUCACUAAUUUCCAACUCUAUACUGAUGAUAUUUUCCUGGUUUUCUUAGCUGGCUGGAGAUGAAUUUUUGCAUCCCUACCCUGAUUUUCAUUAUCGAGGCUCGCUUUUUCCCCUAACAUUCUCCCACAACGGGAGUGUUUGACCUUUAAAGUCACGGUUUCUUCUACUGACCGGCACCUUUGUGAUUAAUCCUUGCAGCUCUACUGCAUGAUCUACUGUUUGCUUUACCCCGUUAGUCAUUCUCUACUAACACUGCAGUUUCUGCUGCUGCCGGUUUUCAACAAAUUCCAGGAGAAGAACAUACAUUACUCCCAUUCACGUCUCCCUGUGAUUUACUAUCGAUUUAGCUGAUUUAGCUUUAAAGCACAGCAUGCUCCCCUUCUGUCUUCCGUUAGGCUCUGCUAAGCCUCCUGCUGCUGAAGCUUCUUACCUGAGCAUUGGUUUGGAAAAAUAAGUAAAUAAAGUCCAAGGACUCACCGAUGUGGGCCCCUCAAAAUUGUUCAUUAUCACUCCCUGUUUUACCUCUGCUAUUUUUUUCGUCAUGUUUUUUAACGGUUUAUUCAGUGUUAUUGUAUAACUUUGUUUUUCAAAGCGGUGUCAAUGUUUUAAAGCUUUAUACCCAUGGGAGAUGACUUUUAAUGUGUUUUUCAUCCCACCAAACAGAGGUGGGAUAUUUGUAUGCAUUGCACUUAUCAGCCAGGAAUAGAGCUAAAGAUGAAAUAACCCAGGUUUGACUCCUCUCUCAGUAAAAAGUAUUUUUCUGUACAAACUGUCUCUUAAUGUUAAAUGAAUGCAUUUAACUUGCAUAUGAACUGUUCCAUCAGUCGCUUUGGUUUGACAUCAAACAAACAGUUUAUUGCCAUUUCAAAAUGAAUGCAUCCCUUUCCAUUUGACAAACAAAGGAAGUUUUUCUCUCAGCAAAAUAUAGGCUUUGUUAUAAUAAUAAUAAUAAUAAUAAUAAUAAUAAUAAUAAUAAUAAUAAUAAUAAUAAUAAUAAUAAUAAAACAAAAAAAGAAAACAAGGAGGACAAGCACAAAUUCUUUGGACUUGCUUGGUAACCAACUACAGAGCAGGUGGUGGGAUAGUAGGCUGAAGCCUGGAGGCUGAAAUCACCAAAAUGUGGGCAGAAAAAAACACAUGCGCUGAAAGCUAUCCAGACCUUGCGACGUGGACAUACUUAACGUAAUUCAAAAAACUAACAAAAACAAGGAGUGAGCUAGAAUAACAGAAAUGUUAGCAUGCUAUUCUAAUGUAGCAAGCUACAGGACCGAUUCAGGGCAUUAACUUACUGUUUACAUGCUGCCAACAACAUGGACUGCACUCACAUUUUGCUGAAUGAUUUUGUGGAGGUUGAUCAGAACAAUUUGAUGCCUCAUCUCAUUUCCCAGUUUGUACGUCCGCAAUCUGAGGAGUCAAGGCAACAGGCAUUUCAUUUAAAUGAGACAUCUUUGCCCUGGAGCUGUUGUUUUAAUGUGGCAUCAGUUAAACACAACGCAGCUGCAUCAUCUGUCUAUUGUUUUGCUAUAAUAUACCCCUGUUAUACAUUAUACUAUUUUAAGAUCCCUGUCAGGAGCAGAAAAGUGUUCAUGAUAACUUACAAUACAUAAUUACUCAUAAUUCAAUUCACAAUGUGGCAACAUGUAACAAGAACGUACAGAUGAUAUCCUUUCAUUAUUUAGCAAACACUGGCGGUGAAGGAUAAAAGGCAUAACAUACAAAAGAGUACUAUACAAACAAAGAGUGACAAGUAUUCUGGUGAGAUGAGCCUAGAGCCAGAAGUAGUGUGCAUGAUAACUGUCUUCCAUUCAGUUAAGUGUUGGGUUGAAUAUGAAAAGGCUGUUGUAGGAGUAUGUUUUGUUCAGCUUAUUAAAACUCCUCUUGGUCAAACACA